rnacentral:tRNA from 1 species
GGGCCUAUAGCUCAGUUGGUUAGAGCACCUGACUCAUAAUCAGGUGGUCCCAGGUUCAAGUCCUGGUGGGCCCACCA